UACAUAGGGUGCGAGCGUUGUUCGGAAUUAUUGGGCGUAAAGGGCGCGUAGGCGGUGCGGUAAGUCACCUGUGAAAUCUCCUGGCUCAACUGGGAGCUUGCAGGCGAAACUGCCGUGCUGGAGUGUGGGAGAGGUGCGUGGAAUUCCUGGUGUAGCGGUGAAAUGCGUAGAUAUCAGGAGGAACACCUGUGGCGAGAGCGGCGCACUGGACCACAACUGACGCUGCGGCGCGAAAGCUAGGGGAGCAAACAGG
rnacentral:rRNA from 1 species